rnacentral:lncRNA from 1 species
GAGCAAAAUGCCUGUUAACCGAAGUUUGAUUAAGAUUCUCUCCCUUCCCCAGGUCCCUGAACUUUGGCCUACCCUCAGCCUGUGUGAGUGAUAGAGAUAGGAGGCAGCCAAGGGUCCCCGGAGAAACCCCGCCUUCAAGCCUAAAACAGCUUGAAGGCUGAAAAACCAAACUGCCGGUCCCAGAUGAAGCCCACCCUUUUCCCGACUGAUUCGUUCUGAAUAAUGCGCACAUGCGCACUAGCGAGGACAGGCUGGAGCCUCUCGAAGUUUGCGCCCUUUGCAGGGGGGAGGAGCCUGGCCUCUCCAGUUCCUGUGUGGUAACCUGAGAUUCAAUCUGUGAGGCAGGAAACCUGCUAGCAGGGCUCUCUCUCUCUUUGCUGUGGGUUCCUGUUUACCUUUUUCUUAUAUUUUUUCCUUUUCAUCCAAUAAAUUCCAUUCCCCCUCACCCGUCAAAGUGUCUGUGUGCCUAACUUUUACUGGUUGUAUGACAAGAACCCAGUGUUUUCUACAACAUUUUUGGCGUCCGGACGUGGGGCUUGAAGAAGGGUUCAAGCAAUUCUCCUGCCUCAGCCUCCGAAGUAGCUGGAACUACAGGAGAAGGAGGGGAGAGGAAAAGAAAAAGGAAGUAAGAUCGAGAAGCUGUGGGGCCAAAGAAUGGAACAGAAUGUUGCAAUGGAGUGCUGAUUACUCUUCAGCACCAUUCUGGGAAGGAAAUGCCAAGACCACUCCCAUCUCUCAGAAUUACUCAUCUGAGCACAGACAACUGGCUCGGUGGAGAAUUAAUCCUGUAUGUUUUACAGUUCAGCUAAAACCAAAGUGGAUCUGUUGUUUUCCUUGCCCUAAAACUGAAGGUGGAACCAAAUCCAAUAAGCUAACCUCUGAAUGGAUUUCCUUUUAG